rnacentral:lncRNA from 1 species
UGCUUGGAGCCAAGAGGAUGGACGAAAUUGAAGAUUUGAAGAUGAUGUUUCCUACUUGAACAAGGUUUCCUAGAAGAAGUAGGAAAGUGCCUAAGUGAAGAUGGAAUCCUAGUUGAAUUAGGAUUCCUAGUCAAAAUGGGUUUCCUAGUUGAAUUAGGAUUACUUGAAAAUGAAGAUUCCUACUCAAACAAGGUUUCCUACUUGAAGUAGGAAAGUUAAAUCCAAAUGGCAUCAAGUUUCAGCAACAAAGAAGUUUUCCAAGUCCAAGAAGGAAAAGGAAUCCAAGAUGAAGAAGGAGAAGAAUUCCAAGUCAAGGGAGGAUUGGGACAUGUUUUCCUAAUGCUAGAAGGACUCCUAAGUGUUGUAGGACACAAAUGAGGAGUUUCUAGAAAGUUUACAUCCUUGCCAUGGGUUUCAUGCAAUUCCUAUCAGUUUUGGGGCUUUCUAGAAGCCCUAUCCUUAAAUCCCUACAUUGGUGC